UGCAGUGCUGUGGUAUCUCAGAUGAAGGCUGUGCUGCUCUGAGUUUAGUUCUGAGAUCAAACCCCUCACACCUCAGUCACCUGGAUCUGUCCUUUAAUGAACUGGUAGUCACAGUAAAGAAGCUGCUCUCUGCUCUUAAGGAUGGUGAAAAUUACAGAGUACAGAAACUGAAAUGAAUAAUGACCUCAUAAUAAAUGUCCAACCUCACUAUUAUUAGUUUGUACAGAGAUGAAUACAUGCAAGUAUACUGUAUGUACCAAAGUUUGUGGUGAUUCAUUCACACGUUUUUCUCUUAUGUUCAGGCUCAAAUGAAUAUCUGUGUGUAUAAUGAAAACUUUGGUGUUCCUGCAUUGCCAUAGUGGGGAAUAUAGAACAGGGUUAUAUAAACAAAUUACUUAUUUAGUUCUAACACAUUUAAAAAACUCAAACAUGAGAAGUGUGUGUUCAUAGUGCACAGUGAAUCAGACUACAAACAAUUCUACACUGAGACUAUAAUGACCUUUGAUCCCUGGAUAAAAUUCCUGGGACAUCAGUCACAUAAAAACCUGAGGCUUUUUUGGAAAAGCAGUCAGAAUAAGAGAAAAAAAAAUAGACAAGAACAAGACAUUGGUGGAAUUUGCACAGAAUAGUAUUAGCAUCUGAGGAGUUCAUCUAAGGAAGCCCUUAGGAGACUCACUCACAAAUCAAAAACAGUACAUCACUUUGUCCUUUGCUUAAAUAAUGGAUCGGUGCUGUUAUACUAAAUACGGUCAGCUAUGCGGGGAUAAGAACAGACCCACAUGUAGUAUAGCGUAAAAUAAACGGAAUUUAUUAACUAAAAAACAUGAAUAGAGAUCGUCUAUUCUAGAGAUAGAGAUCUACCAGCUCCAGUUGGACUCUGCAAUACUAUAGAGGAGAUGUGAACUACAUGUGAUAUUUUGCAUCAAUACAACAUUUGUCAGACUGUAUAUUUAUAAUCACACCAUCCAGUGUCACCCAUAUGAGGAUGGGUUCCCCUUUGAGUCUGGUUCCUCUCAAGGUUUCUUCCUUUACCAUCUAAGGGAGUUUUUCCUUGCCACUGCUGCCUGAGUCACCUCAGACUUGUUCAGUGGGGAUAAAUACAUACACAUUGUGAACUAUAUCUAAUAUUAAUCUUGAAUUUUGUAUUAUAUUAAUCUUUAUAUUAUUUUUUUAUCAGUGUUGGGCAGUAACGCGUUACUGUAACGCAGUUAGUUUUUAUAGUAACUAAUACUGUGACGCGUUACUUUUUUAAAUAAAGUAACUUAGUUACCGUUACCAUAUGGUGCGUUUGUCCGUUACUUUUUUAAAUGAAUUCAUUUUGGCUGAAGUGUAGCCUACAGCCUAACCUGUUUACAGCAGCGAUGCAUUGUAGGAUUGGUGGAUGCCACUGUAAACACGGAGAAGACGCACUGUGGGCGUGUUUCUGUUUAUUCAAGUAUGUGCGGCAGUAAUGUCGAGUCGAGGCAAGAGCAAGACGAGUUUCACUAAGUGGAAAUAUGCUCAUUAUUUCACUUUAGUUGAGAAUAAAGACAAAAAAACUUUUAAUCAAAUGUAAGCUGUGUCUUUCUGGUUGAAAGGUCCUAUAUACUGCGAUAAACAGCAACUCCAAUCUGGAGGUAGAAACUACAUGCCUUGACAAAGCUAGAAUCUAACCCGGUGUCGGUGGAUACACUCGGAGUGAGUCAAGCCCCUCCAGCCAAACAACAGCGACUAGAUUUUAACCAGACUGUUAGCCAGGGACAGAUCAACAAACAGUUUUGUGUUUAUAUAGACCAUAAAGCAUAAAACAGCAUUAAUGGGAACAUUAAAGAACGUUGUUUUUAAAAAAGUAACGUGAUUUUGGUGAAAGUAAUCAACAAGGUAAUUGAGUUACUUUUUGAAUGAAGUAACUAGUAACGGUAACUAGUUACUAUUUCUUAGUAACUAGCACAACACUGUUCUUUAUAUUAACCUCUUGUUCUAUGUUUAUGUUCUGUAAAGCUGCUUUGAGACAAUGUCAAUUGUAAAAAGCGCUAUACAAAUAAACUUGAAUUGAAUUUGCAAAAUUGCUGAUCUGGGAUUUUCACACACAACACACUCUAGAGUUUACAUAGAAAGAUUCUAACUCUAAAGCAUGAUCUGCACAGUUGUUUUUCCUUUGUGUAAUUUUACGUGCAGAUCCAUUUUUCUUGUUCUUUAGCAUGAUAUUCAAAGAUAUUUCUAAAUUUAUAAGAUUUCUAAGGAUUGUCUUUGCUCACACCUUUCUAGAUCACUGUAGCACAUUUCAUCUCAUCUCAUCUCAUCUUCUACCGCUUAUCCGAAACCGGGUCGCAGGGGCAGCAGUCUAAGCAGGGACGCCCAGACUUCCCUCUCCCCAGAAACUUCCUCCAGCUCUUCCGGGGGAAUACCAAGGCUUUCCCAGGCCAGCCGAGAGACAUAGUUCCUUUAGCGUGUCCUAGGUCUUCCCUGGGGCCUCCUCCCGGUUGGACAUGCCCGGAACACCUCCCCAGGGAGGCGUCCACGAGGCAUCCGGAACAGAUGCCCGAGCCACCUCAGCUGACUCCUCUCGAUGUAAAGGAGCAGCGGCUCUACUCUGAGUGACCGAGCUCCUCACCCUAUCUCUAAGAGAGUGCCCCCGAUCCGCCUGUCGAUCUCCCACUCUGUCCUUCCCUCACUCCUGAACAAGACCCAAAGAUACUUAAACUCCUCCACCUGAGGCAGGAGUUCUCCACCAACUUGAAGGGGGCAAGCCACCCUUUUCCGGCUGAGAACCAUUGCCUCGGACUUGGAGGUGCUAACCGCCGCCAUUCUAAUCCCCGCCACUUCACACUCGGCUGCAAACAGUCCCAGUGCAUGCUGAAGGUCUUGGCUUGAUGAAGCCAACAGGACAUCAUCAAAAAGCAGAGACGAAAUCCUGUGGUCCCGAAACUGGACUCCCUCCGGCCCCCGACUGCGCCUAGAAAUCCUGUCCAUACAAAUAAUGAACAGGACCAGUGACAAAGGGCAGCCUUGCCGGAGUCCAGCAUGCACCGGGAACAAGUCUGACUUACUGCCGGCAAAGCAACCCAAACUCCUGCUCGUCAUAUAGGUACCGGACAGCCCUUAGCAGAGGGCCCCGGACCCCAUACUCCCAGAGCACCCCCCACAGGUCGCCACAAGGUACACAGUCAAAUGCCUUCUCCAGAUCAACAAAGCACAUGUGGACUGGUUGGGCAAACUCCCAUGAACCUUCCAGCAACCUGGUGAGGGUAUAGGGAUGGUCCAGUGUUCCACGACCGGGACAAAAACCGCAUUGUUCCUCCUGAAUCUGAGGUUUGACUAUCGGCCGAAUUCUCCUCUCCAGUACCCUGGCAUAGACUUUUCCGGGGAGGCUGAGGAGUGUGAUCCGCCUGUAGUUGGAACUUUUUUGUGAAAGGGAUAAGGUGAUCAUCAGUUUACUUCCAUACUUAAAAUUUCAAAGACAGUGGUUUUAUAAGUACAAGGUUAAGCUGCAGCCAUCAGGGACAACAUAGCUACAGACUAUCAGGAGGCAAAAAUGACUCUCCAAUGAAUGGAAUGACCACCAACUAACCAACGGCAUGUUCCAUAUUGUUUCUUUUUUGGAAACAAAUGAGGUGGAAGUGGUGCCCAGCGGUUGGGUAGAUGGUGACCAAUGUGUCUGGCCACACCUAAGAGGGGAGAGCCUCACAAAGGCUGUGAAACUUGCAAUGAAACCCAAGAAAGAGUGGAAAAUCUGUAAAGUAAAGCUUCUCUACACAACAGACAACUAUGAUGAUGCCAGGAAAAAGCUCCCUGAAGCAGAACUCUUCUCUGACAUUCAAUCUGAUACAGAGAGUGGGGUUAAAAAACCUAGACGAAUUAUGAAGAGCUUUAGACUUCAAAACUUUAAACUUUUGAGUGACGAUGAUGAUGAUAAUGAAGGGCAAAAUUUGAAAGGCCUGGAACCACCGCCUCGUAUUAAGCCACCAGCAUUUCAAACAUUUCGUCAGUCAACUCAAAGCCCCGCUACAGCAAGACAGCAGCCUCCUCUCUGCCAGACAUCUAGUCAGCCACCAGCAAGUGACCAAUCCGCUUUCUACCAUCCAGCUAUUCAGCCACCAGCAUGUGACCUAUCACCUCUUUACCAGCCAGCAAGUCAGCGACCAGCAAGUGACCAAUCCCCUUUCCACCAGCCAGCUAGUCAGCCACCAGCAAGUGACCAAUCCCCUUUCUACCAGCCAGCAAGUCAGCCACCAACAAGUGACCAAUCCCCGUUCUACAAGCCAGCUAGUCAGCAGCCAGCAUGGAGCCAACCACCUCUCCAACAGCUAGCUAGUCAGCCAUUGCCAAAUCACCAACCAUCUCUCUUCCAGCCAAAUAGCCAGUCAACUCUAGAUUACUUGCAGCCAGCAGGCUCAGAAUCUGGCAUAAGGAGAAACCAACCACUACAAAUUUUGCUAAGGGAGAUAUUGACAAAACAAGAAAUGAUUCUAGACCAGCAAAAUACAAUUAUGAGAAUCCUACAGUCAACACAUCGCCCAAGUUCAGAGAUCGUCUUCCUGUCAAAGAUGUAGAGUCUCUCCAGUGCCUGGAGGCUGAGCUGAAGAUGAACCCUGAUUCUAAAUCAGAAUUGACUACCUAUCUGGGUCUGGUUGGUGGCUUUGACCUGAAAGACACCGUGUGGAGAGUGCUGAAAGCCACUUUUACAACUGCUGUGGCACGUGGUAUGAAUUGGAGAGGAGUCAAUGGGAAGAUUGGUGUCCAACGCCUGGUCAUAACAGAAGUUGUCAUUGGUGCAGUCAGGCAGAAUCCCCUUUCUGCAAAAGCCUCAAAUAAAGAGAUCGAAACCAACAUAAUUAAAUGGUUGCACCUCGCUGGAGACCGAGAGGGGGGUAGGAGGGAGCGAAUGAAUAAAAGAGAGGCCCAACAAAACACUGCCGACCCUCAUUAGGCACAUCAUCAAAAGCAAAUUCAAGUUCUCUACAAGUUACUCUGAUUUUUUUGUAUUUUCU